AAGUCGUAACAAGGUUUCCGUAGGUGAACCUGCGGAAGGAUCAUUAUCGAAAAUAAAGGGUUGUCUGCUGGCCUCUCGGGGCGCGUGCACGCCCAAAUCCGCAACAACACCUGUGCAUGCGAAUCCCGUACGGCCUUAGCCCUCGGGGCUUUAUGUAUCAUCAUAUACUCUGAUCAUAGAAUGUAAAUAUUUUGCCUUAAAAACGCAAUGAAAUACAA
rnacentral:misc_RNA from 1 species